UGCUGUGCAGUUUGUACAUUCCCACCGUUAAGGUAGUUUUUUUUCAUCUUGGACGGACCAAUUACAGUGGAGAAAUCCACUUAGCCCGCGAAAUCGCGGCGGCAAUGCGUCAGUUGCUGGAGUGAGGGUGUUCUUUUUGGCAGAGAUAACGAGUCUGUCGGCAAAGACUUAUUUUGCUUGUUAGUUAAUAUAUUCGUGGUUUGCGGUUGGAGUUGUGUACAGCAGGCAAAGUUAGAAAUUACAAGGAGGAUAAUGCUAGCUGACCGGGAGGAGCCAACCGCGGUUAAACUAAUUCAUCUUGCCGCCCCUCCGAAAUUCGGUGAAGAAAUUAAUUCAAACUCGUAGUCCGGUGUUGGACCCACCAGAGACACUGGAUCUAAGGCGGGGAGACGGAUCCCUCAUCGUGCUGCUGUGUGCCAUGUGGUCGGCUGUAACCAACCUCGCCAUAGGAUGUUCCCUAUCUACUCACUGGAGGUAGUGGCAGGACACCCGCUCCACCUGUCACAGGCUCCGUGACUGAGAGAAACCAUUUCAUCCAUCCAUCCAUCCAUUUUCCAAACUGCUUAUCCUACUGGGUCGCGGUAGGUCCGGAGCCUACCCCGGAAGCAAUGGGCACGAGGCAGGGAACAACCCAGGAUGGGGGGGCCAGCCCAUCAGCAUUUCUGGGCACCUAUUAUUAAUUGGGGUCUGCCCAUUGUUGCUGUGACAGACAUGAGGAAGAGCCCUGAAAUAAUCAGCGGUCGAAUGACCUUCGCUCUUUUCUGUUACUCGGUGAUUUUCACGAGGCUCUCUUAUAGAGUCCAGCCCCGAAACUGGCUCCUCUUUACUUGCCAUAUGGCCAAUGUGACGGCACGAUUGAUCCAGAAUGCAGAAAAUGUGAAAUGAGCCUUUGCGUCCAUAAAGAGAUCUCCCCUCCUUCCGAAUAAAUAAAUAUAUAUAUAUAUAUAUAUAAAUUUAUAUAUCUGUGUAUUCAUUUCUUUCAUUUUUCUUAUUAUGAAACCAUACGUGAGUAGGGGCAAUUCACUGCCCAUACAAAGUGAGAGUGGAUAACAUAUACCUAAUGAAGACUGUAGUCCUGUAUUAGACAAAAUCAUUUUAUCAUAUGGGUCAGUUACAGUUACCUACAUAAGAACAUAAGAAAUUUACAAACGAGAGGAGACGAAUCAGCCCAUCAAGCUCAUUUGGGGAGAACUUAACUAAUAGCUCAGAGUUGUUAAAAUCUUAUCUAGCUCUGAUUUAAAGGAACCCAGGGAUUUAGCUUACUACUUACUAAACUAGUAGCAAGACUAUUCCUUACUCUAAAAACAUGAUGUGUAAAAAAGUGCUUCCUCAAAUUUGUUUUAAAAUGUUCUCUCGCUAAUUUCCACUUAUGGCCACGAUCUCUAAUAUUUAAACUAAUAUUGAAAUAUUGAACAGCAUCCAGACCUGUUAGAAUCUUAUAUACCUGGAUCAUGUCCCUCUUAUUCUCCUUUACUCAAGGCUAAACGGAUUCUGCUCAGUUAACCUCUCAUAAGACAUUCCUCUAAGACCAGGAAUCAUUCUGGUACCCCUACGUUGCACCUUUUCCAAGGCAGCAAUGUCCUUCUUAAGGUAUGGUGACCAAACCUGCACACAAUUUUCUAGGUGAGGACUUACCAAGGAAUUAUAUAAUCGAGCCGUUUGUGGUGGACAACAUCAAAGGCCUUCUGCAGAACUAAGCAGAUAACAUCAUAGGCCUUUUUGUGAUCAAUUUCUUUCGUAGCUUCCUCAAAGAACUCAAGUAGAUUAGUUAAACAGGACCUACCUCUCCUAAAUCCAUGAUGGCUAUCCCUCAGAAUGUUAUUUUAAUCCAGGUAAUCUACCAUUUUCACUUGGAUUAUAGCUUCCAUUACCAUUCCAGUUAUGCAAGUUAAACUGAUUGGUUAUAGUUUGCUGGAUUACUUCUAUCCCCUUUUUUGAAUAUGGGUGUUAUAUUAGCAUGCUUCCAAUUAGAAAGUGCCACACCAGUAGAUAAGGAUUUCUCAAAUAGUAAUGUUAAAGGUUGGUUAAUAAUAUCCCUCAUCUCUUUUAAAACUACAUUUUAUACUGUAUUUAGUCCAUGUCUAAGUCCGUAUUCCCCAGAUCCGUCAUUGAUGUUCGUCGCCGUCUGCCCUGUCUUCAGUGACUAAACCCUGGUUUCCUUAAUCCUGCCUACCUGCCUUGUCCUUUCCCCGCUUCCUGCUUGCCCAUCCUCCCCGCCGAUCGCAACAGAAUGACGGACCUCCCGAAAGAAGCACUGCGGCGGGCCAAGGACCAGCGCCUUAAUCUACUGCAGGAGGUGCUUUAUUGGCUAAUUCAACUGGAGGGCCAGGAGGACCCAGCAUCCCGGGAUUUGGCCAGCCGGAGCGGGGACCUCCUGAGUGAGGCAGCCCCACUGCUGCAAGCCGGAGAAAGAAGAGGAAGCCCCAAGGAUCAUCCUGGGGGCUUGCUCUCUCUUCCCCACUUCUCUCCUUGCAAGUGAUCGGGAGGGCUCCCCAAUCAGCUCGGACGUUGCCUUCGCGGGCAGCUUCCCCCUUCCGGGGAACACGCCUGGCUCUGAAAGGGGCCAGGGCAGUAUGGGACGCUAUCCCGCGGGUUAGCGGGCUCUUAAAGGGGCAAUGCCUGCUAGUGAGGCAGCAACCCUGGAGCCCGUGCCUGUCCUACCUGUCCCACCGGCGCCUGACGUCCUUGUCCCGCCUGAUCUGCCUGUCCAGCCCGUGCCUGAUCUGCCUCUCCUGCCAGCUGCCGCACCGCCCAGCAAGGCUCUGGCCACUGCGACGGCCCUUGUUGGCCCAGAGUCAGCGGUGCCUGCGGCACCCGAGGCGCCUGCCACGGCCCCGCCUACAGCUACUGCUCCACCUGAGGCCCCUCUGCCUCCGCCAGUCCCUUCUCCGCCCGAGGCCACUCUGCCUCCACCCGUGGCUCUGCCCGUGCCUGUGACUCCUGCCCCUGUUGCCCAUGUCCCUGACCCAGCUCCAGUCCCCCCAUCACCGGUCCCAGUCCCCGAGGAGGUCCUGGACAAUCUAACCACUGCUCCUUCCUCCUUUAGGCACAUUUUCUUUUUUGUUGUUUUUUUGUUGAGGAAACACCCCAAUGCAAUUCUCAUCUUAAAUUAAUGAUGAAAUAUACAUACAGGGGGCGGCAUGGUGGUGCAGUGGUUAGGACUGUCGCCUCACACCUCUGGGACCCGGGUUCGAGUCUCCGCCUGGGUUACGUGUGUGUGGAGUUUACAUAUUCUCCCCAUGUCGUCGUGGGGUUUCCUCCGGGUACUCCGGUUUCCCCCCACAGUCCAAAAACAUGCAGAGGCUAAUUGGAUUGCUAAAUUGCCCGUAGGUGUGCAUGUGUGAGUGAAUGGCGUGUGAGUGUGCCCUACGAUGGGCUGGCCCCCAAUCCUGGGGUGUUCCCUGCCUCGUGCCCAUUGUUUCUGGCAGCUUGCUACCCUUAUGGGCCGUAUCCAGGAGGCAGGCACUGAGAUUGUGGAGGCCAAGGCUGGGGCAGGCUCUGCCACACUGGAUGGCAUAUGCAGGGGCUGGAUUCACAUUCUCUCUGCUGGAUGCUAUGAAUGACAAAGAGGGGGUGUGGAGUGUGUGUUUCUGAGGUCUGAGGAAAGUGAAAAUACUUCUCUACCCGUCUCCUCCUUAGGAGACAUGGAAUUGAGAAGAACCUGGGCCUUGGUGAGCUCUCCACCUUUGAUGAGAAGCUGGUGGCAGAAGCUUUGGGCUUGACGUUGACGGCCUCCAUCAUGUAAGGGGAGGAUUUAGUGCUGCUCAAGGGCAGCCCCACAAAAAUGGACCGUGACAACCUGGAGCAAAAGUAAAAAGACAGUCCUUCUCACGCAGGCUUUUUGCAACAUUUUCUCUGUUCUGCUUUUCUAGGAUCUAAAUAUUCCUGGAAUGAUGGGAAAGAGCAGGAUCUGGCUGUGGCUAACAUCUACUGUCCUCAAAUCUACUUUUAGUAGUCUUACAACCUACUUUUCUGUGUGUUGUUUUCUGGUGUG